UUAAUGGCUCAAUGGGUAUAUCACUUCUUGGGUUAUAGAAAAAUGCAAGAGAAAGUCUCUCUUGAUCUGAAUUCACUAUCACUCUGUGCUCCACACUCUUGUAUGUUGCAUUGCUUAGAACCUGUUCAAUUGUCAACAUACACAAACAAAUUAACCAAUUAAUUAAUGUGACUUAUAUAUAUCUCAGAGGGAAAGGAAAAAUGAGGCAAAUUUUAACAGUGGAAAAAAAGUUACAUUAAAUAACGAGGAGUUCAGGACAAUAAUUAGUGUUUUACAAAUUGAACUGAUUAUCAAAUAGGUAAGGUUAUGAAGUCACUAGUCUAAAUACUAAGUUACUUAUCGAACCAUGCAAAUAAAUUGGAUUAAAUCAGAUGAUUCUGUUGUCAAUAAAACCAUUGAGAAAAUAAAAGCUUAGUUUUUUUUCUUCUUUCAUUUUCGCUACUAUAAUGCAUAGACUAAAACAAGGUAGAAACUUUUUUUCAUUCUCAAGGUUUAAAAAGAAUUAUGUUUUUUUUCUUCUUAGUAAUUAAUUGUUAAAUAAUUUUUUUUUUCAUUCGUUCCAGUUCGAACCAAAAACAUCAAACUUCUUAUAUGUUAUCCCAAACUUAUAUGUCUUCCAUACAAGUACAUUUUUUAUAAAUCUAUGAUUUUGAUAUCGUUUGAAUGUGUAUUUUGAGAGUUAUAUAUAGCUUUUAGAGAUAUAAAGAGCAUUGGUUGCUUCUAAAAUUACCUUGCCAAUAAAAAAUACUAUGACUUCAAGUGAUAACACUAGCCAAAUGUUUAUCUAUUUAUGUAGACAUGUGAAUGUAAUUUCCAAUAGUAUAGAAUUUUUUUUAAUAAAAUAAUAUGAGGAUAGGUUAAAAGAAUCAAUCAACUAAUAAACUCAUCUUUUAUCCCAAAUCCCAAGCAUAUAAAGUAUAAACUAUAUAUGGUGAUGCAAGUGGUGACGUACGCAUCAAAUAUAAAGAAUUGGAAAUUAAUUAUGUCACUCGAUAAUAUAAAAAAAUUAAAGGACAUUUUUCCAAUUUAAAAUACAUAUUUUGGGUAAUAAUACAUAAAUCAUAAAUAAUGGAUAUAAAAUAUUUGGACACAAUACACCUAAUUUUAGCCUAAAUUUAAAUUAUCUAACCUUUUCAACAUCGUACGUAAGUAAAGAGCAUGUGCAUUUUAAGAAAGACAUGUGCAUAGUAUACAUUUGUUGUUUGAAGAAUAAACUUAAAAUAAUGAUAAAGAACAACCCCCAAGUUCCCAUCCCAUGUGUCUCUCCACGUGGGCAGAUUCGUGUAUUAAAUUAUCGUGAAUACUAGCCAAACAUUAAUAGUUAGGAUAAUUUAUGUGAGAGAAAAAUAUGAUAUUUUAAUCUUAAAUAUUUACCUGUAUUUGGUCACCAAUGUUGACUAUGAAGCCAUGUCUAGCAGGGUUGACCGUAAUCCAAUUAUCAAAUUUUCGAACUUGAAGACCAGCCACUUGGUCAUCUGGAAGCAACAUAGUCAUACC
rnacentral:lncRNA from 1 species